rnacentral:rRNA from 1 species
CCUACGGGAGGCAGCAGUGAGGAAUAUUGGUCAAUGGACGAGAGUCUGAACCAGCCAAGUAGCGUGAAGGAUGACUGCCCUAUGGGUUGUAAACUUCUUUUAUAUGGGAAUAAAACGUUCCACGUGUGGGAUUUUGUAUGUACCAUAUGAAUAAGGAUCGGCUAACUCCGUGCCAGCAGCCGCGGUAAUACGGAGGAUCCGAGCGUUAUCCGGAUUUAUUGGGUUUAAAGGGAGCGUAGGUGGAUUGUUAAGUCAGUUGUGAAAGUUUGCGGCUCAACCGUAAAAUUGCAGUUGAAACUGGCAGUCUUGAGUGCAGUAGAGGUGGGCGGAAUUCGUGGUGUAGCGGUGAAAUGCUUAGAUAUCACGAAGAACUCCGAUUGUGAAGGCAGUUCACUGGACUGCAACUGACACUGAGGCUCGAAAGUGUGGGUAUCAAACAGGAUUAGAUACCCGAGUAGUC